GAUGCCUAGGCAGCGAUCAUCGGGACCC
rnacentral:piRNA from 2 species